AUGUCCUCUUGUUUAUAUUUUGAGGUCUGGCCUGCUCACUGAGCGUAUUUUUAAAGAGCCGCGGUAUUUUGACCGUGCAAAGGUAGCAUAAUCGUUAGUCUCUUAAUUAGUGGCUGGAAUGAAUGGCUUGACGAGAAAUCAACUGUCUCUUAAUAAAUUUUUGAAUUUAACUUUUGAGUCAAAAGGCUUAAAUUCUUCUUUAGGACGAGAAGACCCUAUAGAGCUUGACAUUUUACUUUUAUAUAGUUUUUUGUUUGUCUUUCUAUAUUUAAUGAUGAUGUUUUGUUGGGGUGACAUGAAGAAUAGAUAAACUCUUCAUUAUUAUAUCAUUUAUUUAUGUUUGUUAUUUUGAUCCAUAAUUUAUGAUCAUAAGAUUUAGUUACCUUAGGGAUAACAGCGUAAUUGUUUUUGAGAGCUCAUAUCGACAAAGCAGAUUGCGACCUCGAUGUUGGAUUAAGAAAAAUUUUGGGUGCAGGAGCCCAAUGAUUAGGUCUGUUCGACCUUUAAAUUCUUACAUGAUCUGAGUUCAGACCGGCGUGAGCCAGGUCGGUUUCUAUCCUAAGAUUGUUAAUCCAUAUUAGUACGAAAGGACCAUAUGGUUAAAAUAUUUUUUGUUAUAUUGAUUAAUAUUAAUUUAUUUA